UCACUAGGGUUUCAUGUCUCAUCUCAUUCCUAUCCGCCUCCCCAUCUCUCUCUCUCGGCGAUUCAGAAACCCCUGCUUUCUCUCUCAAAUGAGAUCUAGGGUUUCUACAUGUGAUUCAAGAUCUGGCUAUCACGGCUUUCUCUCUCAAACGAGAUCUAGGGUUUCUACAUGCACUUCAAGAUCUGGCUUUCAUAGUUCGGUUCGACACUUCCAUGGAACCAAAAAAUCUGAGCCAAAUCAGGCCUCUGGAGCGUACAUCUUCCGUCCUCUCAAACGAGAUCUAGGGUUUCUACAUGCGCUUCAAGAUCUGGCUUUCACAGUUCGGUUCGACACUUCCAUGGAACCAAAAAAUCUGAGCCAAAUCAGGCCUCUGUAGCGUACAUCUUCCAUCCUAAUGGAAACUUUCCAAUAAAACCUGCAGGACAGAAAGCUUUUCGAGUUAUAAAAGGUAAAGCCGAAAAGUGAAGCCGUGAAGGUGAGGCUGAGGGUGUAGAAGAUACCAUCCUUACCUGAUCUACCUUUUUGUUUGAGACUCCAAGGUUAUCUUCUCAGCCGGCCGAUGAGAGAGUAAUGGAGAAGCAAGGCCAGUCACACCUCCAGCCGGAGAUCUGAUGAAUCUUCAAUGUUUGGUGAUGGCAAUGGUAUGGUGAUAAUGACCAUUAAACGGUGACAGCGGUGGUUUAAGGCUGUAGUGACUUUCCGACGACUAAAGGAGGCUGUUUCCAGCUACUAAACGAUGACCGGGGGGUUGGACAAGAAAGUGGGCCAAAGCUUCUGCUUGAUUUGCUAAAGAUGCUCUAUGAAUUGUCUUGAAAGAAUGAAAUCAUGGAGCCUCUAGAUUGCCUAAAGAACUUGUCCAGGUGCAACCUCCUUCUUGUUUACCGAAUACCAAUUAGUCGGUAUUUUCAUGGUGGUUUUUGCAAUCUUAAUCUUCCUUUUCAUGGGCUCUGUUGAGGGUUUCAGCACCAAAAAGCCAGAAAUGCACAUAUAACGUCCACCAGAUGUGCAAACCCGCACUCGUAACUGCCGCCUUUAGUACAAUUGCGUUCCUAACCGGAGCAAUCACCUCGCUCAUUUCCGGAUUCCUCGGGAUGAAAAUCGCCACUUACGCUAAUGCAAGGACAGCGCUUGAAGCCCGAAAAGGCAUCGGUAAAGCUUUCACUACCGCGUUCAGGUCCGGUGUUGCAAUGGGCUUUCUUCUUGCCGCAAACGGGCAACUGGUUUUGUACAUCACGAUUAAUCUAUUUAAGUUGUAUUACGGGGACGAUUGGGAAGGGCUUUUUGAAGCGAUAACUGGUUACGGACUCGGUGGUUCGUCGAUGGCUCUGUUCGAAAGAACUCGAAUAGAACCGAACAUGGACACCAGCACGAACAUACAAUCGAACACAAUUUUUUGUUCGUGUUCGUUUAUUUUGAAAAUGGGCAUGUUCUUGUUCGUCCACGUUCAUUCGUCCGUUUAAAACCAAAACAAAUAGUUCAUGAACGUAAACGAUUGUAAACAAACAAACUUAAACCAACAAAAUUUAACAAACAAUAAACAACACAAAUGAGCAUAAUUGAACAAAAAUAAAUGAACACAAAUGAACACAAUUGACUAAACAUAAGCGAACAUAAAGUAAAUUUUUAUAUGAAUUAGUGAUUAAUUGUGAUAAAUUCUUUUGGAAACCCAUUUUUAUUGCUAAAAAGGCUAAUUACCAUUUAGUUAUCUAUACUAUAUUAUAAAGCAUAUAGGAAGGACUACUUUGGGAAACUUGCAAUCUGUUCGAGAUGAAAGACAUCCAAGAUUUACGUUAUGGUUGCAGGUAAGGAAGUAUGAGAGGAGUCCUUCUAGGAGUCGAAGUAGCAGUUUCAGCAGAAGCCGAAGCCGGAGUAGAAGCAGAAGCUUGCGACGCAGCAGGAGCAAAUCCUUGGAGCGCUCUGUCAAAAUCGCCAGCUAAAUCAAAGUCAGCAUCUCCUGUGAAGCCGGAAAGGUAUUGUAGCACAUGCACUAUCAUUGGACAAUGAUUUCUUUUCAAGACAUGGAGGCUGGUAAAAUUUUUAUGACUACAGGUUGUGUACUUUGUGGCAUUUAGCAGCAAAUGGUACUAGCUUCUUUUUUUCAGUCUUAUGCAAAAAAAAAUUCAAACUCUAUCAAAUCAAUGGGCACUUAAGCUUUAUAUAUGUUUCAGUAUUGAAAUUACAUACACAUACAACCUUAAAAGCAUGCUGUACAACAGCUUGCUGCACACAAAUAUGGAAAAUACAUGAGGUGCCCUAUGUGGUAUAUUUUUAGCUAAAAGGUGCGUCCCAGUCGCACUUCAUGUAACCAGUGCACCUUGUGUAGGAUGAGGUGAUGAGCGUUGUUCCUUAGGGCGCCUUGUGCCUCAGGCGCGCUUUAUUAAAACCCAACAAAUGAGUCGAUUCCAUAGUUUCCACUUAUGUAUUUAUCUGUUAAACAGUCAAAUUCAUUCUUUCUAUUAACAGAAGUAAAAUAACAAAUGAGUUUCUUAGAAUGAGAAAUUCUUGCUGGUUUUUUUAGGCUGCAUCAAGUAAGCACAUAGUGUGGUUGCCAGUUAUUGGGAAACAUCGAAUUGGUUCUUAGAUCUAGACGCCUAUGGGCGAUUCACCGUAUGGUUCGAAAACCCGAACCCCGUUUCGCUCAUCUUUGUUCUUGUUUGUGGAACGAAAAGAUCUCGAGAAAGUGGCGAAAACGUAUGGACUUUUGGCCGGUGGAUAGAGGUGAUGAACUGCCACUCGGGUUACCGCAGGUGAUGAUGGCGCUAACGUGAGACGGACACCUCUACCCGAGCCUCGCUAAAGGUUAUGGGACAUGCUGAUCUUCGGUACUAUCUCAUCACAUGCGCAACUUAUUUUUUAGCAAUGGAUGUGAGCCGUCUAAAGUGAAUGAUCAAGGUGAAUGAUGAGCUAUCGAUGGGCUGUAGUUAGGAAGAGUUCCAAGACUUCCAAGUUAAAAUUCAAGUUUUAAAUGGUUUUUAGGACAAUCUUUAUGUGAAAUAUAGUCAGGAAGAGUUCCAAGACUGCAACUUUUUCCUGUUGUACUUUUUACUUGCUACAAAACCUACACAAUAGGUUUCAUAAACUAGCAUUCACGAUUAAAUAGGUUCAAUAUAAGAAAUCAUGACCUAUGAAAAUAGUUCUUUUCUA